UACGUAGGGGGGCAAGCGUUGUCCGGAUUUAUUGGGCGUAAAGAGCUCGUAGGCGGUUGGGCAAGUCACGUGUGAAAUCUCCACGCUCAACGUGGAGGCGCCACGUGAGACUGCCCUGACUCGAGUCCGGUAGGGGAGCGUGGAAUUCCCGGUGUAGCGGUGAAAUGCGCAGAGAUCGGGAGGAACACCCGUAGCGAAGGCGGCGCUCUGGGCCGGUACUGACGCUGAGGAGCGAAAGGCGUGGGGAGCAAACAGG
rnacentral:rRNA from 1 species